UACGUAGGAUGCAAGCGUUGUCCGGAUUUACUGGGCGUAAAGCGCGCGCAGGCGGCACUCUAAGUACGUCGUGAAAUAUCCCGGCUCAACCGGGAGGGUGCGAUGUAGACUAGGGAGCUAGAGGUCGGUAGAGGGGGGUGGAAUUGCUGGUGUAGCGGUGAAAUGCGUAGAUAUCGCCUGGAACGCCGAAGGUGAAAACAGUCUGCUGGGGGCGUGCCGACGCUGAGACACGAAAGCCAGGGGAGCGAACGGG
rnacentral:rRNA from 1 species